rnacentral:sRNA from 1 species
CUUUAUGUUCCAUUUUAAAUUUCUGGUAGGGGAUAUUUGACCUCUUUCAUUUAAUCUUGCCAGAGCUUAGUUUGUUUUUUUAGUUUUUUCAAAGAACCAACUUUUGCAAUUUUUGAUACUCUAUUUUAAAAUCUUAUUUCCUUUCUAAUACUUUAAGUUGCUUAACUCUUCAGUUUUAGCCUUCUAAUAUAAGCAUUUGAUGCUAUGUGUUUUCUACUAAGCAUCACUUUAGUGGCAUUCCACAAAUAUAUAGAGAUAUAUAUGUUAUUUGUAAAUAUCCUUUCCUUCAUUGUCUGUCAGGGUCCAGAUACUUUUCUCAAAUACUUGAAUUAACUUGGAUAAAGGACUGUCAUCAAAAUCUAUUCAUUUAGCUGGGCACGGUGGCUCACGCCUGUAAUCCCAGCACUUAGGGAGGCCGAGGCGGGUGGAUCACGAGGUCAGGAGUUUGAGACCAGCCUGGCUAAGAUGGUGAAACCCGUCUCUACUAAAAAUAAGGAAAAUUAGCUGGGCGUGGUGGCAGGCGCCUGUAAUCCCAGCUACCCGGGAGGUUGAGGUAGGAGAAUCGCUUGAACCUGGGAGGCAGAGGUUGCAGUGAGCCGAGAUCGCGCCACUGCACUCCAGCCUGGGCUACAGAGUGAGACUCCAUCUCAAAAAAAACAAAACAAAACCUAUUGAGUUAAGAAAUAUUUGAACACAGGCAGACACUGUGCCAGAUGACAUUGGUGCCACAUAAAUGAGCAUGAUUACAUCCCUGAAAGAGCUUCUAGUCAAGUGGUGAUGUGAAAAAAAUGCCUUCAGAUAAUUUUCAAUUUAAUGACACUGGAAGUAAAUAGUAGAUUUUACAGGAACUCAGUUGAUUAUCUGUUCCCUGCCUUAAACCUAAAACAAAAGAUGAUUAUUUAACAUUCAGCUGAAAAACUAAAUGUCCUCAUCAUGGUGAAUACACACACAUUUGUUUCAGAUAGUCCCACUCGGUUGCCCAGGCUGGAGUGCAGUGGUGCAGUCUCAGCGCGCGCGUACACACACACACACACACACACACGUUUGAGACAGUCCCACUCUGUUGCCCUGGCUGGAUUGCAGUGGUACAAUCUCAGCUCACUGCAUUCUCCACUUCCUGGGCUGAAGCAUCCUCCCACUUCAGCCUCAUGAAUAGCUGGGACUACAGGAGUGCACCACCAUGCCUGGCUAAUUUUUGCAUUUUUUUGUAGAGACGAGGUUUUGCCAUGUUGUCCAGACUGGUCUCAGAACUCCUGGGCUCAAGUGGUCCACCUGCCUUGACCUCCCAAAGUGCUGGGAUUACAGCCAUGAGCCACCAUGCCUGGCCUAUAUUUUGUGUGUAUGUGUGUGUGAUUAGGCCCACAUAUAUAGUCUGUGUUGUGUGUCAUUAAGCCCACAUAUAUAUGUAUAUGUAUUUUGCGUGUGUAUGGCAUUAAACCCACAAACUAUGCCAGAAGUAAUAUCUUGAUAACAUCCUGUUUUUCCUAGGUGUGAAGAUGCCUUAAGAAAAAAUAAGAGCUUAAUUGGGCCGGAUCAAAAGGAGUAUCAAAGGGAACUGGAGAGAAACUAUCAUCGCCUUAAAGAGGCCCUACAGCCACUGAUCAACAGAAAGAUCCCUCAGUUAUACAAGGCAGUAUUGCCUGUCACCUGCCACAGAGAUUCCUUCAGUCGAAUGAGCCUUCGCAAAAUGGAUCUCUAAACUGAAUGCACUUGUUUUAUUCAUCUGCAAAGAGCCAUGUAUUCAACAUCGAGUGUGAAAAGAUCUAUUGGAAAACAACAUGGAAUGGAAUUCUGGAAAUUAUUAUUCAUUGAAGAAUGCAGUGGCCAAGAAAAUAUCAAAUGUAGAUUGUUAACGCUUGAGAAUCAUGGCUAUGGUUUCUAAUGUUCUGGUAACAAGCUGUUAUCUUUUAAGACAUUUUAAUGACUCAAAGGUACACUAUACAUUUACCAUUAUUUAUACCAUAGCUAAGGUUAAAUUUAUUCACUUUAAGUUCGUAUUUUUUAAUUUAUGUUACCAUUUAUAGAUUCAUUUUGGAACCAUUUUAAAUGUAGUAAUGCUUAUUUUAAAGGUACUAUUAAAUAUGUGAAUGUUUACACUAAUUUUACCGAGUGGGACUUCAAAAUUUUUAUUAUUGACAAUGGCAGAGAACAAUUAAAGGGUUGACUCAAGAACUAGUUCCAAACCUAGCAGAAUAAAAAUCAUAGAUAGCCCC